AGCUUUGCUCAGUGGCAGUAUCGUAGCCAGUGAGGUUUAUCCAAGGAGUGAUUAUUGCUAAUUGAAAACUUUUCCCAAUACCCCACCAUGACGGCUUGAAAUAUAGUUGGCAUUGGCAAUUUUUACAGUCUCUAUGGAGA
rnacentral:snRNA from 1 species